ACUCAAAGGAAUUGACGGGGGUCCGCACAAGCGGUGGAACAUGUGGUUUAAUUCGACACUACGCGAGGAACCUUACCUGGGUUUGACAUGUAAUCGCUACUGGUGGAAACAUUGGGUUUCGUAGUAAUACGAACGGUUACACAGGUGCUGCAUGGCUGUCGUCAGCUCGUGUCGUGAGACGUCGGGUUAAGUCCUUGAACGAGCGCAACCCUUGCCGUUAGUUGCUUACCGAAAGGUGGCACUCUAGCGGGACUGCCUUGGAAACAAGGAGGAAGGUGGGGAUGACGUCAAGUCCUCAUGGCCCUUAUGCCCAGGGCUACACACGUGUUACAAUGGCGAGGAACAAAGGGAAGCAGAGCCGCGAGGUGAAGCAAAUCCCAUAAAAUUCGUCUAAGUUCGGAUUGUAGUCUGCAACUCGACUACAUGAAGCUGAAAUCGCUAGUAAUCGCAUAUCAGAACGAUGCGGUGAAUACGUUCUCGGACCUUGUACACACCGCCCGU
rnacentral:rRNA from 1 species